rnacentral:rRNA from 1 species
AGAAUCAACGCUGGCGGCGUGCCCCAGACAUGCAAGUCGAACGAUUAAACUCCCCUUCGGGGGAGAUAUAAAGUGGCGCACGGGUGAGUAACACGUAGGUAAUUUGCCUUCGGGUGGGGAAUAACAGUCGGAAACGACUGCUAAUACCGCAUAAUGCAGCGGCACCUAAUGGUGACAGUUGUUAAAGCGGGGGAUCGCAAGACCUCGCGCCUGAAGAGGAGCCCGCGGCGGAUUAGCUAGUUGGUAGGGUAACGGCCUACCAAGGCUUCGAUCCGUA